GAGUCUGCACGCUAAGGAGGAAAUUAGGCAUAUGUGAUCCUUUUUAUUGAAGAGAUAUAAAAGGGAGCAAGCAGUCUCAUGAUACAUUCCUCCCAUUUCUAAAAACCCAUGAAACAUGAGUCAAACUUGUAAUCUAUAGAUUCCUUACUCAUGUAUCAUUGUCCCAGAAAGAAUUUGUAAGGAUUGGAAGCAAGAAAAAUUAUUUGAAGCGAAAAGGA
rnacentral:lncRNA from 1 species